UGUUUACUGAAAUAAAGAGACUUUUUUUGAGUUUUACUUCAUUAAAAACUCAACAUUGACAUUAAUUUCACAAGCAAUUACAGUUAUAAAAAGGUUAUAUAUAUAUAUCUAGUUGAAAUCAACAAAAUCAGAAGAAUUCCAACAGACUCCAUGGAACUCCUAGCUUUUUCUGUAGGGAAGCAAUCAUCGAGAAUCCACACAAAAAGAAAGAGUUUCAAAGAGAAGAGAGCAAGGCUGUAUAUCAUACGCAAAUGCAUCUACACACUAAUUUGCUGGAGAGAACACACGGAUUAACAACAUUUGUUUCACUUUCAGUCAACAUCCAUGCUACCUACAAUCAUUAAUCAUGUAUAUUAGAGUUAAUAUGGCAACAUACGUAAUGGAUAUGUUUCUGCAUUCUUACUAAGAAAAAUGAUAUUGUAGUAAUUAAGAGUCAACCAUAUUUUAGAUUUAAUUUGUGAUAGUAAUUAGCACUGUCAAUUAAUCCUCAUGGUUGAAAUGGCCAUCACCAAAAGCACUGACGGAUCCUCAUUAGGGCCAGGGGCCCUGGUUUUUUUACCUAUUAAUACUUGUAUUAUAAAGGAUACAUUCAUCUUUUUUUUUUCACUAAUUUUAUGGCCCCCCACAUUUGAUUUCUCAACUGCAAAACAACAACAAAAAUCAAUCUUGUUUUGUUAUAACAAGAACCCAAAUAAGUAACAGAUUCUACGAAAAUAACUGGAAAAAUCAAAACCAAGUCCCAAUUUUAAAAAGAGAUGAUCAUACUAUAUAAAUACUGGAAAAAUAUUCUAAUUUAAAUUUUAUUAACACAAUCUUUCCGAAAAUAUAAAACCUAAAAACUAAAGAAGAUCACUGUUGCCGGAAAAGUUGCUCACCGAAAAUCAGUGACGCCACCGAAGUCCUCGAAUAUGCCGGACUUCUCACUAGAAACAUCGCUGCCUGCCUCGGAGUGCUCAUCACUUACUCUUUCCUUCACCCUUUGUUGAAAUCUGUGCCCUCCAUCUCUCCCCUGUUGGCCCCUUCCAUUCGCCGAAAAGCUACUACGAGUCUCCGACGUAUCCUCUUCUCUUCUAUUGUCAUGACCUCCGGUCUCUCCGUUCUCAUUUCUGGCAGAUUUGUAAGCUAUUUCUUUUUCUCACUCGCUUUAUUUUUCUAUACGGGAUUAUAAAAAGUAUUGGA
rnacentral:lncRNA from 1 species